rnacentral:siRNA from 1 species
CGGCCCCAUUUCAUCUGCGG